AAUUCCAGAGGGUCCAAAAUC
rnacentral:misc_RNA from 1 species